rnacentral:rRNA from 1 species
GGGCCCGCACAAGCGGUGGAGCAUGUGGUUUAAUUCGAUGAUACGCGAGGAACCUUACCAGGGCUUAAAUGUAGUGGGACAGGUCUAGAGAUAGACCCUUCUUCGGACUCAUUACAAGGUGCUGCAUGGUUGUCGUCAGCUCGUGCCGUGAGGUGUCAGGUUAAGUCCUAUAACGAGCGCAACCCCUAUCGUUAGUUGCCAGCGAGUAAUGUCGGGAACUCUAACGAAACUGCCUGCGAUGAGCAGGAGGAAGGCGGGGACGACGUCAAGUCAUCAUGGCCCUUAUGGACUGGGCUACACACGUGCUACAAUGGCGGUGACAAUAGGCAGCGAAAGGGCGACCUGGAGCAAAUCCUAAAAAGCCGUCCCAGUUCGGAUUGUACUCUGCAACUCGAGUACAUG